rnacentral:rRNA from 1 species
CCUACGUGAGGCAGCAGUAGGGAAUCUUCCACAAUGGGCGAAAGCCUGAUGGAGCAACGCCGCGUGGGUGAAGAAUGUCUUCGGAUCGUAAAACUCUGUUGUUAGAGAAGAAAGUGCGUGCGAGUAACUGUUCACGUUUCGACGGUAUCCAACCAGAAAGCCACGGCUAACUACGUGCCAGCAGCCGCGGUAAUACGUAGGUGGCAAGCGUUAUCCGGAGUUAUUGGGCGUAAAGGGAACGCAGGCGGUCUUUUAAGUCUGAUGUGAAAGCCUUCGGCUUAACCGGAGUAGUGCAUUGGAAACUGGGAGACUUGAGUGCAGUAGAGGGGAGUGGAACUCGAUGUGUAGCGGUGAAAUGCGUAGAUAUAUGGAAGAACACCAGUGGCGAAAGCGGCUCUCUGGUCUGUAACUGACGCUGAGGUUCGAAAGCGUGGGUAGCAAACAGGAUUAGAUACCCCGGUAGUC